UACGGAGGGUGCGAGCGUUGUCCGGAAUCACUGGGCGUAAAGCGCACGUAGGCGGCUGUUCAAGUCAGAGGUGAAAGCCUGGAGCUCAACUCCAGAACUGCCUUUGAAACUAGACAGCUUGAAUCAUGGAGAGGUGAGUGGAAUUCCGAGUGUAGAGGUGAAAUUCGUAGAUAUUCGGAAGAACACCAGUGGCGAAGGCGGCUCACUGGACAUGUAUUGACGCUGAGGUGCGAAAGCGUGGGGAGCAAACAGG
rnacentral:rRNA from 1 species